rnacentral:rRNA from 1 species
AUUGAACGCUGGCGGUAGGCCUAACACAUGCAAGUCGAACGGCAGCACAGUAAGAGCUUGCUCUUACGGGUGGCGAGUGGCGGACGGGUGAGGAAUACAUCGGAAUCUACUUUUUCGUGGGGGAUAACGUAGGGAAACUUACGCUAAUACCGCAUACGACCUACGGGUGGAAGCAGGGGAACUUCGGACCUUGCGCGAUUGAAUGAGCCUAUGUCGGAUUAGCUAGUUGGCGGGGUACAUGCCCACCAAGGCGACGAUCCGUAGCUGGUCUGAGUGGAUGAUCAGCCACACUGGAACUGAGACACGGUCCAGACUCCUACGGGAGGCAGCAGUGGGGAAUAUUGGACAAUGGGCGCAAGCCUGAUCCAGCCAUACCGCGUGGGUGAAGAAGGCCUUCGGGUUGUAAAGCCCUUUUGUUGGGAAAGAAAAGCAGCAGGUUAAUACCCCGCUGUUCUGACGGUACCCAAAGAAUAAGCACCGGCUAACUUCGUG